rnacentral:rRNA from 1 species
CAAUAGCGUAUAUUUAAGUUGUUGCAGUUAAAAAGCUCGUAGUUGGAUUUCUGCCGAGGACGACCGGUCCGCCCUCUGGGUGAGUAUCUGGUUCGGCCUGGGCAUCUUCUUGGAGAACGUAUCUGCACUUGACUGUGUGGUGCGGUAUCCAGGACUUUUACUUUGAGGAAAUUAGAGUGUUUCAAGCAGGCACACGCCUUGAAUACAUUAGCAUGGAAUAAUAAGAUAGGACCUUGGUUCUAUUUUGUUGGUUUCUAGAGCUGAGGUAAUGAUUAAUAGGGAUAUUGGGGGCGAUUCGUAUUUAACUGUCAGAGGUGAAAUUCUUGGAUUUGUUAAAGACGGACUACUACGAAAGCAUUUGCCAAGGAUGUUUUCAUUAAUCAAGAACGAAAGUUAGGGGGCGUCGAAGACGAUCAGAUACCAU